GAUGAACGCUGGCGGCGUGCCUAAUACAUGCAAGUCGAGCGAACAGACGAGGAGCUUGCUCCUCUGACGUUAGCGGCGGACGGGUGAGUAACACGUGGAUAACCUACCUAUAAGACUGGGAUAACUUCGGGAAACCGGAGCUAAUACCGGAUAAUAUAUUGAACCGCAUGGUUCAAUAGUGAAAGACGGUUUUGCUGACACUUAUAGAUGGAUCCGCGCCGCAUUAGCUAGUUGGUAAGGUAACGGCUUACCAAGGCAACGAUGCGUAGCCGACCUGAGAGGGUGAUCGGCCACACUGGAACUGAGACACGGUCCAGACUCCUACGGGAGGCAGCAGUAGGGAAUCUUCCGCAAUGGGCGAAAGCCUGACGGAGCAACGCCGCGUGAGUGAUGAAGGUCUUCGGAUCGUAAAGCUCUGUUAUUAGGGAAGAACAACUGUGUAAGUAACUAUGCACGUCUUGACGGUACCUAAUCAGAAAGCCACGGCUAACUACGUG
rnacentral:rRNA from 1 species